CAGAAGUGGCGGAAUUGGAAGACGCCCUCCUAGAGGAGGUGAGAGCAAAACAAACAGUCUCUCAUGCAGGUUCAAGCCCUGCCUUCUGUA
rnacentral:tRNA from 1 species